rnacentral:rRNA from 1 species
GGGGAAUUUUUCGCAAUGGGCGAAAGCCUGACGGAGCAACGCCGCGUGAGGGAUGAAGGCCUCUGGGCUGUAAACCUCUUUUAUCAAGGAAGAAGAUCUGACGGUACUUGAUGAAUAAGCCACGGCUAAUUCCGUGCCAGCAGCCGCGGUAAUACGGGAGUGGCAAGCGUUAUCCGGAUUUAUUGGGCGUAAAGCGUCCGCAGGCGGUCUAGUAAGUCUGUCGUUAAAGCGUGGAGAUUAACUCCAUUUCGGCGGUGGCAA